UGUGAUGAUUAAUGCAAACUGCAUACUGCUUUGAACAUCGACAUCUUGAACGCAUAUUGCGGCCAUGGGUUAGCCUGUGGCCACGCCUGUCCGAGGGUCGGCUU
rnacentral:rRNA from 1 species